rfam:Ixodes scapularis strain Wikel colony gcontig_1108379214240, whole genome shotgun sequence.
AUCGCUUCUCGGCUUUUUGGCUAAGAUCGUAAAUAGUUUCUGUUCUUAUCAGCUUAAUAUCUGAUACGGACCUUAUUGGUCCGAGAUAUUAAACUUAUUUUUGAAAAUGGCGUUUACUCGGAGCUUGCUUUGAGGACACCAGGGUUGGCCCGGUUUUGCACUACUUCCGGGACUGGCCUGUUCCUC